rnacentral:rRNA from 1 species
UACGUAGGGUGCAAGCGUUAAUCGGAAUUACUGGGCGUAAAGCGUGCGCAGGCGGUUAUGUAAGACAGAUGUGAAAUGCCCGGGCUUAACCUGGGAACUGCAUUUGUGACUGCAUGGCUAGAGUUUGGCAGAGGGGGGUAGAAUUCCACGUGUAGCAGUGAAAUGCGUAGAUAUGUGGAGGAACACCGAUGGCGAAGGCAGCCCCCUGGGUCAAGACUGACGCUGAGGAGCGAAAGCGUGGGUAGCAAACAGG